rnacentral:rRNA from 1 species
UAGGGAAUCUUGGACAAUGGGCGCAAGCCUGAUCCAGCCAUGCCGCGUGAGUGACGAAGGCCUUAGGGUUGUAAAGCUCUUUUGCCGGGGACGAUAAUGACGGUACCCGAAGAAGAAGCUCCGGCUAACUUCGUGCCAGCAGCCGCGGUAAUACGAAGGGAGCUAGCGUUGUUCGGAAUCACUGGGCGUAAAGCGCACGUAGGCGGAUAGUUAAGUCAGGGGUGAAAUCCUGGGGCUCAACCCCAGAACUGCCUUUGAUACUGGCUGUCUCGAGGUCGAGAGAGGUUGGUGGAAUUCCUAGUGUAGAGGUGAAAUUCGUAGAUAUUAGGAAGAACACCGGUUGCGAAGGCGGCUACCUGGCCCGGUACUGACGCUGAGGUGCGAAAGCGUGGGGAGCAAACAGGAUUAGAUACCCGCGUAGUCCCUGAGCGGGCUGGCAAGGCGCAU